rnacentral:rRNA from 1 species
GGCGCGUGCUUAACACAUGCAAGUCGAGCGGUAGGGCCUUCGGGUACACGAGCGGCGAACGGUGAGUAACACGUGGGUGAUUCUCGCCCUGCACUCUGGAAACUUAACCCCCGGGAAACCGGAGCUAAUACCGGAUAUGACAUCAGGGCCGCAUGGUCAUGGUGUGGAAAGUUUUUCGGUCUGGGAUGGACUCGCGGCCUAUCAGCUUGUUGGUGAGGUAAUGGCUCACCAAGGCGACGAUCGGUAGCUGGUUUGAGAGGAUGACCAGUCACACUGGGACUGAGAUACGGCCCAGACUCCUACGGGAGGCAGCAGUAAGGAAUAUUGCGCAAUGGAGGCAACUCUGACGCAGCCAUGCCGCGUGCAGGAAGAAGGCGCUACGCGUUGUAAACUGCUUUUAUCCGGGAAGAAACCCCAGGACGUGUCCUGGGUUGACGGUACCGGAGGAAUAAGCACCGGCUAACUCCGUG